GACGAACGCUGGCGGCGUGCUUAACACAUGCAAGUCGAACGGUAAGGCCCUUCGGGGUACACGAGUGGCGAACGGGUGAGUAACACGUGGGUGAUCUGCCCUGCACUUCGGGAUAAGCCUGGGAAACUGGGUCUAAUACCGGAUAGGACCACUGCCUGCAUGGGUGGUGGUGGAAAGCUUUUGCGGUGUGGGAUGGGCCCGCGGCCUAUCAGCUUGUUGGUGGGGUGAUGGCCUACCAAGGCGACGACGGGUAGCCGGCCUGAGAGGGUGACCGGCCACACUGGGACUGGGAUACGGCGCAGACUCCUACGGGAGGCAGCAGUGGGGAAUAUUGCACAAUGGGCGCAAGCCUGAUGCAGCGACGCCGCGUGAGGGAUGACGGCCUUCGGGUUGUAAACCUCUUUCAGCACCGACGAAGCGCAAGUGACGGUAGGUGCAGAAGAAGGACCGGCCAACUACGUGCCAGCAGCCGCAGUAA
rnacentral:rRNA from 1 species